AUGCCGCUAAAUAAUCCAGCAGUGAAAAACAAUUUGAAAUUUAGUUAAAUUAAGUUAAAUUGCGUGAUGAAAUGUGGCAUCGGUGUACCAGGAUGCACUCACCCCAGCCAGUCAGCCAUCAUUGUUUACAUUUGUUUUUACGUCGCACAAGUCGCAUGAACGGUCAAGUUGUACCCGAAUUCUUUUUCACAUUAACAUCAUGUCGGUCAGAAUUGAAAAGAAGGAAGGUGUGACGUGUGUUUCUUGGACAUUGGAUCUUUAUGUAAAGUUACUUAAGAAAAGCUUUACCUUUCAAGCAGGAAGUUUCCCAGUUCAUCUGGGCUUUCCUUCCUUUGAAAUUUCUUGGAUGGUCAAAAAUUUACCCGAAUGGGAACGAAGAGGAUUUAAUCCGCAGCACUCGCAAGAAAUCCAAUUCUGUUUGAAGAAGGUGAAUGUCGGUAGAAUAACUAGUGUUAAUAAAGGAGACAUCAUUCCAGAUCAUUACCUUGAACCUCAAACUGUUUGGGUCACAGUUGAUGGGGGUCAAUUUCAAGAAAACUCUAAGAAGAUCGCAAAAAUUAUUUUGAGAAAAGGUCAAUGUGACUCUGAAAAUGUAAGAAUUUUUGGGUGUUGGUUAUCAGGACAAGUAUUGUUUACACUCCAAGCCAAAGAACGAUUUACCUUAAACUUUUUUCUUCAAUUCGAGAAUGUUUAUCUAAGUCAGAUGGAUUCCAUCAUUGGACUUACAACAAACUACUUGUUUCUUCAGCAAACAAAUUGCGAUGUGCAAUUUAAUUUCAUCCUCACUUCCGAAAAAAUCGGCGCCCACAAGAGCAUCCUGUCAGCGAGAAGUCCUGUAUUUGCAGCCAUGUUCCGUCACGACAUGCAAGAGUCAAACACUGACCAAGUCACCAUUGAUGAAAUCGAGAGAAACGUCUUCUACCAGCUGCUUCACUUUAUUUACUCGGGCCGAACGAGUGUUCCAUUGACUGAAACCACCGCCCAGCAACUGUUAGUAGCUGCCGACAAGUACAACGUCGAAGACCUAAAGAAUGAGUGCGCCCGUUUCCUAUUACCCCAUGUAAAUGAAACUACUGCCACAAUUAUGUUUGAGAUGGCUGUCACGUUUAAUCUCGAGAAUCUAAAGGAGGAAUGCGAAAAUGUUCUUCUCAAUGACAUCCAAAUGAGUAACGCCAUUGACUUGAUUAUCUGGGCAAGUUUACAGUCGGCCAAGAAAGUGAAGGAAGCGGCUCUUAGCUUUGCCAGACUUAACAGUAAAACCCUCUUCUACACUGCUGAAUAUGAGAAAAUGAUGCGUGAGUAUCCUGAAAUCUGUUUGGAGGUGACUCGUCGCAUGGCACGAUAACACGUUAAUAACUUUUUCAACCGCUCCGCUUUUGUGUUAUAACUGACAGGAGAUUUUUUUUUUUUUUUUUUUUGUUCAUUGUGUUUUAGUAUUUACAGUUAUG
rnacentral:misc_RNA from 1 species